CUCCCCUCUCCCCCUGGCCCCAGAGCACAUAAAGAUGCCCCAGGAGAUUCUAUUGUCUCUAAGGUGGCUGAAUUGGGGCAGGAUAUGACACUCCCUUUCUGGAAGUUUCAAGCUGCUGCUUCUUUUAUGCUGCAUUUGACUAUUUUGUUACACAUGCUUGUGCUUGUUUAUUGCACUUUGCAGGAUCUUUCAUUGCCUUCAAGCAGUGGGCAUUGAAGCAGGCGUUGCAUAGUCUGAGGCUCUGUGCCAGUCACAGGUGGUUGAACCAAUGGUAUAGCUCCACUUCUUCAUUAGUUCCUUGGAACGCCUGACUCUGAAACACGGCCAAUAGUCCAGGGGCAGGACACUACCUGCCAGACCCAACACCAAAGAUAUGCAGUGUCUUGGGUGAUAUUUAGGUCAGAAGACAUGUAUUCAACAACUCUUACUUUACUUGAGCUGAUGCUCGGGCCAAAGCCAGUGAAGAAAGCAAGAGGGCUUGGGCAGCAACCAAGAAGGAAGCCGUCGCAUUUGUGGCCAACAACAAUUCUCAAAUUGCAAUUUCAUAAUACGCUCAUUAGCAAACAUGGCCAGCAACCAGAAGGAGGGGAUCAAUCAGCCUGUGGCUAGCAGUGGAAGGAGAUCUAAAAACCAGAGGGAAGGAGGAUAGAAAGAGCAUUGGAACUUGUAUUGGUGCCCCUCGUGCACCUUGCGUACCUUCCUUCAUGCCCAUAAAAUUCCACCAGCCCUGUUUAAAAUAAAUUUGAACUAAAUAAUGCAUCCCCCCCAACCAGAGAUGACUGUAUCAGCAUAACCCUAUCAGGAUGCAGGGCAGUGGUGUACUGACAGUGGCAGGUGGGGAAGCCACCCCAGGUGUGGAUACAAAGGGGGUGCCACCACUGUGCGCUGCUUUUCCCCCUCUCCCCACCAUUGCUGAAGCCACUGUUGCACAAGCAUUGGUUUAUUUGUUUUUAAAGCUAAUUUGCAUUUGUUUUAUUUUAAUAAUAUUUAGUUUUAAUUAAGUUUUAGUGUAAAUCAAUAAUGUUUAGCAUGAGUAUAGCUGUCAUUUUAUUAUAUGUUUUAAUGUAGUGAUUUUAAGGUGCUAUUAUCAAUUGUUUGUUGUUGUAUCAUUAUCUUUUGUGAUUGUGUUCUUAUAUACAUAUAUAUAUAUUUGGAUGUAUGGAUGAAUGAAUGAAGAGUGAAUGGUAAAAUCAGAGUAAGAUAUAUGUCAGCAAACAAGUUACCAAAUGGCGAAUCAUGCUGAAAAGGCUGAAGAAUCCAGUCUGUACCAUGUGAAGAAUAAAGAUAAACAGAAAAGAUAAGAUUGAAGAAAAGGUCUGCAACAUCUCAAAGCUAGAGACUCUGGACACAGCCCACACCAGCAAUAAUGGGAGAAUGUUGGCUAACAGAGUGAUUGAAGAGCAACACCUAAAGACAAUGAUGCAUGGGCCUAACUGCUUGUCAGGAUGGAAAAGUACUGAGAUUUCAAACAAAGAAGCCACAGAAUCAGAAAAGGCAGACCAGUCACCCAACAUCAACUCGAUAACCCCUAUAAAGAAGAGAGAUUUAGCAGUUAGAGGUGGGGGUAACACUCUGUGAAUUUCACUGGAAUACAGAUGCAUCUGUAUCCCUCAUUCCUGAUCUCAGACUAACUCGGCUGGCCACCUAGUUAUUGUACUGAGCAACAGAUUUUGGUAACUAUAACAUCUGUAGAGUGAUUGAGAGAGAGAGAAUGUGUGAAAGAGCUCUUUUGAAUAUUUUAAUAAAUAAACAUGGCAUUUUGCCUUAUCCCCCUUGUGGCAGGGCACUGCUGGUGCCUGCCACUUUAAGGGCUUGGUCAGGCAUCCAGCAGGUGCCUGCUGGUGACAGCCAUUUUGAGAACUUAGUAUAUAAAGGCUACGGUCUGCUGCUGCCAUCUGAGGCAGAAACAUCACCUAGCUGAGCUGCAGCAGGAACAGCUGGGAGGUAAGGUCAAGAGCUUAUGGGGGUGGCUAGGAGGCUCUUGGGCCUAGGCAUGACCUAAAACUGCACCCUGCUGGGGAUGGGUGGCCUGGUGGGGCUUCUAGUGGCAUGGAAGCCCCCAGGAAGUGCAAGGCCAGUUACCACCCCCACAAAAGGAAAUAAGCCCAGCUCCCACAACCAGGUGGGUAACCCCAUAGUAGGGCUGAGAAGGCAGACCCAUUUGAGAGAGAGUGGGCUAGAUGCUCAGAAGCCUGAGUUGAGGCACCUUCGACUGGUCAAUGCUGGGGCUAAGACCAGAAGGGUCAAAAGGGCCA